UACCUCAUUGCAUAAGCAAGUAAGGUGUCCGGCAGACGACCGGUUAGAUAGGUUGGGAGUGUAAGAGGGUAACGCCCUUUGAGCUGACCAAUACUAAUACACCGAGGCCUUAACCUC
rnacentral:ncRNA from 1 species